CCGUACAGACCAUGAGAAGUGGAUUCGAUUGACACAUGAGAAAUUGGUGAGUUAUAGGCUCGGCCGUACGACCACGGGAGUGGAUCCGGCCGACGUAUUAUUGAGAUAAGAGUUGAAUCAGCCGUAUUGGUCAUUCUAGUUGACUUCGGCUGAUAUAUUUCUUAUUAUGUAUGUUAUUACCUAGAGAGUAGUAAAUAAAUGUAGUUGAGACGAGGUAUGUAUUUUGCAUUGAGAACAAAAUAGUAAUGUUAUAUUUUUGAGAGUGGUUGCCUACUUAUCGAGACAACGAUGAUUUAUCAGUAUUGCGGGCUGCAGACCGUAAUAUUAAUAACUCAUUCGUGGAUUCGUUAAGCAAGCAAACCGGUAGAUUAUUUUAUGUUAGUAUUGUACUUAUUCAGAAUGCUUAGUAGUAAUAGAGUAUGUAUUGUGUCGGUUAAAUUAUUUCCAUUAGAUUGGUUGGUUAUAAUUGUGACAAGACGGAAUGUUAAGGGAAACCAGUACUUUCCAUCGAUCUGGAUGACCAGAGAUUACUUUUGUAAGUAUGCAAAGUGGAUUGAGUCAGGCCGUUAUUUAUGCUGUGAGAGCAAAGAGAUUGUUUCGAAAGGCUGUAAAAAAUAUUAGCUCGUGUGGUGCUAAAUGAUGUUGUUUGGAGUAGUGUGAAUAAUGUCAAAAAGGGGUUAGACUUUUCUUGAUGUCUUCCCUGAAAGUAUACCUGGAUUGCCUUCAGGCAGAGAUAUGAGGUUCACUAUUGAUUUGUUGCCAGGUAUAAAUCUAUGUUAAAGAUUGGUUCAGGAUGAGUUAAGGGAAUUGGAAAUUCAGUUGAAAAGAAUUGGUUGAUAAAAGUUCAUUCAACCUAGUACAACAUUUUUGAGGAGCCCCAGUUUGUUGGUGAGGAAGAAAAUGGACUUAGAGAUUGUUCAUUGAUUAUAGACAAUGGAGUCGGGUAACGAUUAAGAACCGUUAUCCAUGGUAAUGUACUGAUGUUUAUUUAACCAGCUCAGAAGUAAUUGCGAAGAUUCAAAGAUUGAAUUGAGAUCUGGUUACUACCAAUUGAAUAUUAUAAGUGACGUUGAUCAUAAGAUGGUUUUCUGGACUUGUUAUGGUCCUUAUGAAGUUUGGUGAUGCAUGUGGAUACUCAUGCUGUUUUAUGAGUUGAUGGAUGAAGUAUCCAAUAAUGCCUUGAUAGAUUGAUAUCAUUUUUAUUGAAGAUAUUCUGGCAUAUUCUGAGCCAGAGCAGAGCAUGUAAACGUAUUAAGUCGGUUGAACCAAAGAUUGAGAGAACGUUGGUUGUAUGCUAAGUAGCAAUGCUAAAGUUAGACGAAUCAGGUGGCAUUCUGAGAUUUGUUAUAUAUUCUUAAGGUAUUCAAGUGAAUCCUUAAAAGAUAGCAGAAAUUGAGAAAUUGGAACAACCACGAGCUGUAAUUGAGAUUCAGAAUUUCUUAGCUUACCAGGCUAUCUUGGAUGGUUGUGAAAGAUUUUUCAGUCAUUGCUUUGUCAUUGACGAGACUGUUGAGAAAAGAGGUUAUGUAUGAGUGGAAGGAAAUUGUGAGCAAAGGAUUCAACAACUGAAGUAUUUCCUCACUCAUGCACGUAUUUUGGUAUUCCCAGAGAAUAGUGGUAAUCAUAAAUUUUUAGUGAUGUUUCUUGAAUGGUAUUGGAAUGCAUGUUGAUGCAAAUGUUAGGGUGAUUGCAUACGUUUCACGAUAAAUGGAAUCUCAUAAGAUGAAUUACCCUACGGGUGACUUAGAAAUCAUGAUUACCAUUCUUGCUGUGAAGUUAUGAAGGCAUUAUAUUUGGUAAGAAUGCAAGAUUUUUACGAAUCCAAAAAGUCUUCAAUAUCCAUUACUUGGAAGGAUUUUGAUAUGAGGCAGCGAAAGUGAAUUGUAUUGCUUAAUGAACAUGAUUGUACGAUCAGGGUGAUCGUAAAGUUUGUUCUAACUGAAGCACUUGGUGAGAAGACUACAGUAAGAUUAAUGUCUGGCACGUUUGCCAAGAGUAUCAUCUUGUGGAUUGAAAACCAACGGAAGAAAAAUUAAGAAUGGAAGAUCGAGAAGAAGUUAUACUUGUUAAAUUUCAAGUUAGGCCUGUUUGGUAAGGUCGUACUUGAAACUUAAAUGCUUGACGAAAUUUAAGAAUUAACCAAGGUAGAGAAAGAAGGUAAGUUAAAUCCUAAGUUAAUCGGACUUAAGUGAUUAUCGAAAAGUUGGUGAAGUUGCUUACAAGCUUGUGAUGCCCUCAGAAUUGGUUAAGGUGCAAAACAUAUUUUAUGAUUCGAUGCGUUGUCACUAGGUGGCAGAUUCGUCACAUGAGAUUCUGGUGUAACUAUUGAGAAUUAAAUUGGAUUCGACUUGAUAAGGAAUCAAGGACGACUUUGGAUUGGAAAAAGAAGGUCCUGAGAAUUAAGACAGAGUUAAGUAAUAAAAGCUUUGUUGAAGGAAAUCAUUCAGUAGAAAAGUAUGUGGGAGAAAGAGAAUCGGAUGAGAAAGAUUUACCCGAAGCUAUUGUUGGAGUAUGGUUGAUUUAGUUGGUUGCUAGAAUUUCGGGGACGAAAUUCUAUAAGGAGGGAAAAUUGUCACAGCCCGUCCCGGAAUUUUAAUUCCGAGGACAUGAAAAGACGAAAAUGCCCUUAAACGGGACUAAGGGGCGAAAAUUUAACAAUUUGGAUUGAGUUGGACACGUGGGAUCCCACCACCCUCAAUCCUCUCCCUAUUUUCUGCAUACUGUCUCUCUCUCUCCUCCCUCACGAAUCUCUCUCUCUCUGUCACUCUUCUUCUCCGUUCGAACAAACCAACCACAAAACAACCUUAAACUUCCACCAACGACGGAGUUAAGACCACCAUCGAACUCCUGGAGACUCCACGAUCACGUAGACACCAAUUUCAGGUAAGUUUUACUUCGGAAAACCUAGAUUCUAAACUCCCCGUGAAAGUGCACUGUUCAUGAUCUUCGAAUUGACUUUGUUUUAGGACAAUCCAAGCUCACAGUGAGCUUAGUGAGGUUCCAAGGAAGCUCGGAGUGCUUCGUUGGAAGUUUUUGGACGUAAGAACACGGAGAUCGAUAAGUUCAAAGUUUGGCCGGAGCUUUCGAGGCAUUUUCCGGCGAAUCCCCGGCGAGUUAGGCGUCGAGGUAGGUAUCAAUCUCUUCGUCUCGUCAAGUACUACAACUUUCCUUUUUGUUUCACUCAAUUUCGUUGAGUAUUGAAGAAGUUAUACUCAUUUGAAAAAUACCCAGUUUCCGGCGACCUCCAAGGCUUUCGAGGCAGUUUCCGGCCAAACUACGGCGAACUAGGUGUUGGAAAGGUACCAUUCUCUUUGUCUCUUCAAGGGCUACAACUUUCGUUUUUGAAUCACUUGAUUUCGUUGAGAAAUGACAAAGUUAUGGCAAUUUGAAAAACUGCCCAGAAAACGGCCGCCGGAAAAACCAGUCCGGCGACCCAAGGAAGAAGAAGGUGCUACAGUAAAAAUAAAAAAUAAAAAUAAAAUUAUUUUAAAAAUAUGUCGACGUCCGUGACGUCGAGUAGAUCACUGUGGUAUAUUCAUAUACCUAAAUUGAACACCGUAUGAGAAAGUUAUUGAAGAUUGUUGGUUAGGUGUUCAAAUAACGUUUUAUAGUUUUCACAUUUAGGUGAAAAUGUGAAUUGAUGAUCCGACCGUUGGAUCGUCACCAAACUUUGAUACGUUGUAAUACGUAAUAUUUGAGGAUUAUUGGAACUUACGGAUUGGGAAUCCGAGUUACGGAUCUUUCCGGAAUUGGAAUUGUAAGUCCAUAAUAUAAAAUGUUAACCGUCACUUAGUUUUGGAAAUUGACGGAGAUCCGACCGUUGGAUGGUAAUGAAAUUUUAGGAUGUUGUCCUAGAGGUAUAAUGUGGACCUCUGGAAGUUAUGGAUUUAAAAAUCUGAGGGGUGGAUCUUCCGGAUCAAUCUACGUAGUGACGUAUUUUAUAUAAGUUAUAUAUUCUAUCGAUAUGAAUUCUGAGGUUGGAAUUGAUUAUUGUUUUAGGCGCCGAUCGUCAUGACGCCUUGGCGUAUUGUGCUAGGGAGUUGUAGGGCGAACUCCAGGUGAGUGGGCAGUUUUGUUUUCCGUAUAUAUAUAUAUACUUAACGUUUUCCCAGAAAUUGAAAAAUGCAUGAAAUUAUGUUUUAAAAUGAAAUGCAUAUGAGUUAUGUGGAAAAACGGGAAGUGAAAUACCAUGCAUAGAAUUGAUAUGAAAAGUAUAUAGAAAUGUGAGUUGAAAUGCCAUGCAUGAAUUAAUAUAUGAUGCAUAUGUAUGAAUUGGUGCGGUGGACGCACAGGUAAGAAUUGAUUUAUGAUGCAUAUGUAUGAAAUGGUGCGGUGGACGCACAGAUGAGUAUUUAAUUACUGUUAUGAUGAUGAUGAUAUAUAUUGAGCUCAAAUCCUGCACCAUGGUUUAGUGCUUAUAGUAUUCACCGCAUCGCACGCUCGCCUUGGAUCCAAGUAGAUGCUAGUCGUACAGUCCACGCGGAGUGGGUACGACAGACCAGUCGCGAGAGUGUUAGUGAGAUUCCGACUGGUGGGUGACCUUAGAUUAUGUGCACAGAUGAUUUAUGAGAAGCACUAGAGCGUAACUUGUGUGCAGAAGGCCGGACGGGUCACAGAGGUGACUCCGGUAGAGUGAUAAUGAUAGAUUUUGAGCUCUAGGUUCAACCGUAUAGGGCUAUUAGAGGGCCUACGGUUGAUUACUUUCUUGCACCUGAUAUGAUUAUGUUGAUGCAUUCAUACCUUAUUACUGUUGAGAUGAUGUGGCAUGGCAUAAUUAAUAUGAGAAAUGUUGAGAUGAUGUGGCAUGGCAUAAUUAAUAUGAGAAAUGUUGAGAUGACAUGGCAUGGCAUGAUUGAUAAAGAGAUAAUGUUGAGAUAGUAAAAAUGAAGUUUUGAGAAUAUAUAUGUAUAUUUAUAUUUUACAUUUCUGGGAAAGUAUACAGGUUUUACGGAGAGGGGUUACAACGUUUUGAGAAAUGUUUGGAUUUGGAAAAGAAUUGUUUUACUGACCCACUCAAUUUUGGUUUUGCGCCCCUCCAGGUUCAGGAAUCACAAAGGUGUGGUGACUACGAGGAAUUCGACGGUGUUCUGACAGAUUGGACAAAAUUAGGACUCACCUUCGGGUGUAUCAAUUUAAAUUGUAUCUUAAAGCUUCCGUACUGUGCAAAUGGUUACGUCACUCUCACGUGACGGCCAGCAUGCCCUCCUUCGGGACGGGGUGUGUCAAUCUAACCUUGGUGAAGAGACUUAGAGGUUCUCAAUUUUGGGAACUUGGAGAAACCUAUUCAUCCAACCAAAUCCAUAGAUUUUAGAUGCAAGGAAUGAAGGCCCUCUCUUUGGGUGAUUAGCCUUUGCUUAUGCAAGGAGGAAUCUACAAAGGUAAUAAUUUCAACUCACUUUGUUUUGAGAUGAUAAUUGGUUCACCAAUCUACUAGGCUUUGAAUUUCAUGGUAAUGUUUUGUUUUUGAGUGCAUACAAGCAUGAUUCCGCCUUUAAUUGUUAAUUGCAUGCUAUAUGAUGUUGCUCAAAUGAACAUGUUUUUCAAAAUAAUUCCUUCAUAUAUAUAUAUAAAAACUUGGUCCACUCACCCUUGUUUUGUGCCCCCUUUCAGGAUUUAGAAUCGAGGCAUAUGAUGCGAAUUUUAACUUAACACAAAUUAAACCCUCUUGUUGUCAAAUUGUAGUAUAAAUGCAAGUAGGAAUCGUUUUAAACCAGGGAUUAGGAGGGCUUGCUCAAACCUCUAAACUAACUUAAAAAUAUAUAAACAAAGUUAAAAACACUAAACUAGACUCAAAGAACUUAAAACAAACUCAAAGGACUCAAAACAAGCUAAAAAUGCUCAAAUCAACCUAAAAACACAAACUGGGCAGAUUUGGACUCUAACACUUUUGGGACACCUAAAAACACAAAUCAAAAUAGAUUUUGACUAAUAAAACACUUUAAAGUAAAGGGGGUUUUGGCUUUGACGAAUUUGAAAACAAAACAAGUAAAUUAAAGAACUAAUGAAGUCUGCACGAAUUUGAGUAAAUUGAAUGGAUGGAAGGCUAGCUAGGAGGUUCUUCUCCACAAAUGACAUACUUGCACAUAAACCAAUUUUUAGUUGUUCUUUCGAUCAAUCAUGAAACUCAACACCCCAGGUUAAUUAAGUCCGCUUAAAUUAACCUUCAAGUUCUCCUUAAGUUAUUGAAUUGGAUGAGAAAGCGCAUACAACAAUUCAAGCAUUCUUCAAAAGUUCUUUACGUGAACAGCACAAUAAAGAUACAAUCAAAGAUCAUUAAGCAUUAUGAAAACUAUAAGUAUUGACGAGACACUCGUUACUAUGAUGAGCAUGAAACUCCUGCCAAUAAUUUAUUUAACGCGAUCGUUUAUAAGCGACCUCCACUACUUGUGAAUAUGAGUUCGUAAUUAUUAGGUGAAACUCCCUUAUACUCUAGCAUCAUAUUCAUGCAUGCAAACUAAGUGUGCACUCUUAAUAAACAUACACGAAUAAGUUAUCAAUCAAGCAGUUAAACAAAUUGAAUCCACAACUUAUGAAAUCACAACUGAAGGUAAUCAAAUCAUAUUGCAAGCAUGAACAUGGUUUCGAAUUCCCCCCUAGCUAAGGGGGGUUUAGUUCCUCAUACUCAUAAAGCAAAGAUAAACAAAUUUAGACAUUGAAAACAAAAGAAUGAAAACACCUAAAAACACUCAAACAAUCCAACUUGAAUGGCAAGCACGUCCAAGGGUCAUCCAUCUUCUCUUUGUUGCGGCACAAGGUGUGGUUUGAUGGAUGAGUGGUAAAUUAUGGUGGUGGAUGGAUAUAGGUGAGUUAUGGUGAAGGGUGGAUGGGUGGAUUGUGUUCUCCCCCAAGGAAUGAAAGUGUAAGUGUAUGGAGUUGUGAGAUGUGAAUGUAGUGUCUUUGGAUGGAUCUUUUCUCCUCCCUUGUUAUGGUGAAGGGUGGAUGUAUUUAUAGGCUAGGGAGAGGACCACCAUCUAAUUAAGGUGGUAGUGGUGUAUGUUGUGGUAAUGUGUGGAUAUAAUGAGUGUAGUGGGUGAGUGUUUGGUAAUGAGUGGAUGUAAUGGGUGUAGUGGAUGGAUGUUUGGUAAUGAGUGGAUGUAAUGGGUGUAGUGGAUGAGUGUUUGGUAAUGAGUGGAUGUAAUGGGUGUAGUGGAUGGAUGUUUGGUAAUGAGUGGAUGGGUGUAGUGGAUGAGUGUUUGGUAAUGAGUGGAUGUAAUGGGUGUAUUGGAUGGAUGCUUGGUAAUGAGUGGAUGGAAUGGGUGUAGUGGAUGAGUGUUUGUAGUUAUAGGUCAACACACUUGCACGCACACAUGCUGAUUUCUAGCCUUCUAAUCUUCAAAAACGUCCAUCCUCAUGUCUCCAUGCUUGCACUAUCCAAUCUUGGCCCAAAAAUGCUCCAAAGUGCUCCAAAUAGCACUUUGUUGCCAACUUUGUUAUUUGAACCUACAAACACACGAAAAUAGCUUAAAGUACUAAAAUAACUAGAAUUAAACUAAUUAAAUGCCAAGAAACAAGCUCACUAAGUUGCAUAAAUAUGCUCUUAUCAAAUUCCCUCACACUUAGCUUUAGCUAGUCCUCGAGCAAAACAAAAGAAACAGAACGAAACAAAACAAACAAAACAAACAAAACACAACCUAACCAUCCAACAUUUGCCUCAGGGAUUUCCAAUGCACAUGACAUGUUAAAAAUCAUCAUUCCCAAGAUUUUGGUUAUCUUCACACUUGAGCAUAAACUUAAUCACAGUCACUACUUACUAGUUCACAAUUAACCAAUUAAAACAAUGUUUUGAAUGUAGUAACAUGCCUUAGGGAAUUUGCUCAAUUCCUUACAAGAUACUUUCUAUUUCUCACACACAUUUUCUGACUACACACCCUACACUAGUAUAUGUGAGAAGAUUAAUGUAAACACAAAAGACUAGGACUCACAUAUGUUAUAACAAAGAAAGCAAUUUUCUGGAGUUAUUAAGCAUCUUUAGAUAUGAUCUCAUGAAUGGAAUGCUACUACUUAGAUGCGAGAACCAGUGACACCAUAUGCUCAUACCAAUUUCGAACUCCACAAAUUGAAACACACAACACUCAAGAUUGAAGUCAAGGGUUGUAACAGGGCUUGGGGGUAAUGGCUAAUAAAGAAAGGAUAGGAAUAACAAACGUUCUUAAAGCGAUAGCAAGCAAAGCAAUGAAAUAGACACUUGGAAUUCACUUUAGAAUGCAGAAUCAACUUUUAAAUACAAAGGGAAGAUUCAUGCAACACUUAGGGCCGAAUUCAAUGUUUUGGACCCUUUUUUAACAAACUUUUUUCUUUUCACUCUUUUUUUUUUUCUUUUCUACCCGUGCCUUAUUAAGGACUUUGGCACACACACACACACACACACACACAAGAAUCACUUCCCCCACACUUGCUUUCUGCAAUACAUUGAUAAAAAAGGAGUUCAUUUUAAGUCAUGCUUUACUAUGCUUCAAGAACAAGGGUAUGGAUGGUCCUAAAACUAGGCUAGGUAAGGAUAGUGUGGUUUAACAAAGAACAUAGGUUUAACAAGGCUUAAUGAGGUUAAACUUAAACACAUAAUGAAAUAGGGGCACAGCAAUUUGGCUUUGGUGGUCACUACACAACUUCAUCUUGAAAAUGUGUUAUGCAAAUCAUUAGCAUGCUUUGAAUGAAAUAGGCAUGAGUUCUAGCAUUUGGAACUAAAUGAUGAAACGCCUUCUAAGUAGCAACCAAGCAAAGAAUAAUGAGAUCAUGCAACGACUUUAGAAAACAAUUAUGCACAGAUUAUUAACUCUCUUUAACAUGUUACAAAACUGAUUUUUCCUUUAUGAUUGCAUGUGAAUUCAUAAAUUAUAACCACAACCAAGCAUACACCAAAGAGUAAAUCAAAAUUUCAUCCAUGUUUAUAACUCUCUUUAAUAGUCAUGUAAUUAAAAACCAAAUCCUCAUCAUUGUGUUGGAAGGUACCCUAAGACACAAAUAAACAUACAAAAAUAACUCUUUUUGGGUUUUUCAAAACAAUUUUUCAAAUUUUUAUGAGAUUUUCGGAUUUUUAUGUCAAAACACACUAAAACACUCCAAAACAGCUUAAAAACACUUAAAACAGUAAGGAACAACACUAGAAGUAAUGGGUGAUAAACUCCUACGAAUUUCAUGCAAAACAAUGGUUAGCCCCCCCACACUUAAAUUAAACAUUGUCCUCAAUGUUUCAAGCAUAAACUCACACACAAAAAAUAAGCAAACAAACAAACAACGAAUAAACAUGACAAGUAUGGCAAAGUAAAAACCAGACAGAGUAGAAUUUAAGAACGCAAAUCUGGUUUUGGAGAUAGAUGAUCUUGUUGUCUUUCCAUAGCUUUGAUCUCGAACUGGUUUGGAAUUCUGAGCGAGGAAUAUGAGAGUUCCUUAGUUUCAAUUCAGACUCCUUCUGCUGGGUUGAUUUGAUUGUGCAGUCUGCAUUCUUAUCUGCUUGUUUUUUUUGCACGGCAGGCAGGCACGAGGUAGAGGUGUUGGUUUGUUUCUUUCUUCAAUCUUUCCAAGUGCCCACCUCUUGCUUUCUUUCUCCUUGUCCGUAGCUGAGGAUGAAUUAGCAAAAUGUCUGCACAUCCUUCGAGGUAUCAUUUUCACUUUCCUUAUCUGUUCCCCAGACAGAUGUGGUAGACGAAGAGGAAGCAUAAGAUGAUGAAGAUGAGUACUCGAAAGCAAGGCUAGGUAAGCAAUCAGGAAGGGGUUCCAGGCAGUCGGUUCCAGAUUAGAAAAUUGAUAUCAAGUGCUGGCUGAUUGCUCUCUUUCUCCUUGUCCCAAAACAACGACAAGGAGAAGGACAGGGAGAAAGCAUGAUAUGAGAUACUCUUGCUUUCAACCUUCAUGAUAUGAAAUACUUUUGCUUUGGAUGAGUUAUUUGCAGAGGUACCCCAAGGAAAAGUUGUUUGCAGAGGUACCCUAAGGAAUAAGAAACACUGAGUGACUCGAGAGGGUUUGUUGGAAAGGCAUUCUCGGAGAAGAAGAAGGGUUAUGUAUGUUUGCCUUGCAAUGGAGGGUGAAGGGUGACAUUUAUAUGAAUUAAUAACCGGUACUAUUCUUUCACUCUUGUCAGUAACCGUUGGAUGAUUUAAUAGUAAACUUCACGUUCUUUCUACUUCACAAGAGAUCUUCGACAGAUUGCUCGUAAUUUUUGCAAGGCUGAGUGUGCAUGUGACAGGCGCUGACACGUCUGGAAAUCCAAGUGCCUUUUCGAUAUCUGGAAUCGGCGCUUCAACAAACUACCCGUGAUUUUGCAUGUGAUAGAUGCUGACACGUCUGGAAAAACAGAUGUCUCUCCAAUAUCUGGAAUCAGCGCUUCGACAAACUGCCCGUGAUUUCCGCAAAGCUGACUCUGAAUGUGACUGAUGCUGACACGUCUGGAAAAACAGAUGCCUCUCCGAUAUCUGAGCUUGCCUCUUCGAUCUCUGAAAUUCCGUCGAGUGCAGAGGUUGCAUGUGACAAGUGCGGACAAAUCUGGAAAAGAAGAUUGGGCGUGGUUUCUGAGCAAGCCCAGCUUUUGAGAAAGCUAGCGCCCCUUCGAUUUUUGAGUUGGCCUCUUCGAUUUCUAAGCUCGCCUCUUCGAUCUUUGAAAUCCUGUCGAGUGCUAAUUUUUAUAGAGGUAUGCAGGACGUUCAAAGCACACUUCAAUUUCUGCCUGUACAAACUCCAUUCUUGCACUUCUACGAUCUUGACUUGUCCGACCUCUUCUUUCUUUAACACCUCUGAAAAUGUCUGGCCUCUCUGACCGUCGUUUUGACUUGAACCUUGGUGAAGAGGUAGUCCCGCAUUCUCCAGACAACAUAUGGCGCCCAUCCUUCAUAUCCCCUACUGGUCCCCUUACCGUUGGGGAUUCGGUGAUGAAGAAUGAUAUGAUAGCUGCGGUGGUGGCCAGGAACCGUGUCACUCCCAAAGCUAACAGACUACUUGGCAAACGGUCUGAUGAGUUGGCUGUUAAGGAUUCUCUGGCUCUCAGUGUGCAGUGUGCAGGUUCUGUGUCCAAUAUGGCCCAACGCCUAUUUGCUCGAACCCGUCAAGUUGAAUCAUUGGCGGCUGAAGUGAUGAGUCUCAAACAGGAGAUUAGAAGGCUCAAGCAUGAGAAUAAACAGUUGCACAGGCUCGCACAUAACUAUGCUACAAACAUGAAGAGGAAGAUUGACCAGAUGCAGGAAUCUGAUGGUCAUAUUUUACUUGAUCAUCAGAGGUUUGUGGGUUUGUUCCAACAGCAUUUUCCUUCGUCUUCUGGGGCUGUAUCGCGUAAUGAAGCUCCAAAUGAUCAACCUCCGAUGCUUCCUCCUUCUGGGGCUCCGCCGACUACUGAGACUUCUCCUAAGCAGCCUUUGUGAAGGCUUCCUCUUGUAGCUUUUUUCUGCUUAAUGUUCCCUUUUUUUAUGAAAAUGAAUGUAAAAAUACCUUGCAUAACUGUCAGUGUUUUAAAAAUAAAUCCACAAAAAAAACAAUUAAACAAGCAAAAAUAAAAAUAACAAUCAUGGCAAAAUAAAACUACAGAAAAGGGAAGGUUUUUAGGAAUGCAAAACCAAUCGUGGAGCAAUUCAAAAAUCUUCCUUAUUUGAAUACAUGGGUUGCCUCCCAAGAAGCGCUUGCUUUAAUGUCUUCCAGCCGGACGAAACUUCCUUCUAAACUUGGAUAGGGCCCAUAGCAUGGAAUUGAUUCUUGAAUGGAAGGUGAUACUUGACGUGAUUCGGCAAUGGUUUAAAUUCUAGUGUAGGUGCCUGAAUCAUCAAAAUCAGCAAGUUAGUAUAUAAUAAAAUCGAAGUUGGAGAAGAUGGCUUACUUGCUUGCUCCAACACAAACUCAAUUACGAACACCAUAUCUUUGAAGGUUGCAGGGAUAUGGGACUUGGCCAGAUUUGGUGUUUUGAGAGUUAUGACUUGUCCUGUGUCAUAAAAUCCAACUUCUUAGGGAAUUUUCAUCUCAAAUGUAUCUUCUUUGAUGAAUUCUAGACAUUCCCCAUCCACUUCUUGCUCUUGAUUCGUUGGAAAGGUUUCGAAGAUGCCUUUCUCACCUUCUUCUUCCUUGGAUUGCAUGAUCCUGCAAGGAAUAAGGACAUUUGGUGAAACGAGGUCAGGACAAAUUGGAUUUAGGCUUACCUUGGUUGUAGUGGACGACAUAGAUGGCAUAUGGGGUUGUGGCAAAGGUGGUUCUUCCCUUGCUGUGGCUUUGUUAUUCUCCUCUUAUUCGAGCAGCAGUUGUUCAUCCAUGUUUUGGCUUGGUUUGGAUGUCUUGGGUUCACCUCCAACCUCCAUAGCACUUCCCAAAGUGAUAGCAUCAUGGAUUUCAAAAUCUUCCUUCAAAUUUUUAAUAGUUGAGUUGGAGAGUUCACUUUGCUCUUGAAUUUGUGCCAUGAACUCCAUAAUCUGCCCAAUUUGCUUAUCCAAUUCUCCCGUCUUCUUGGCUUGAUUUUGCAUCUCUUUGUUUCCAUUUUCUACUUCUUGGUUCAAAGAGGUGAGUAACUUAUUAAACAUAUCAUUAUCCAAAGACGUGCCUUAAUUGAAUUGGGCAGAUUGUUGUGGUGGCUGCAUAGGUCUUGAGUAGAAUUCCUCUUCUUGCUGCCAAUAUCCAUCUUGUUGGAAUUGUUGAGGUUUUCCACACAUGUAAUCUAAAUAAUCUCUCCAAUCUGAAUUGUAAGCGUUGGAAAACAUGUUGUCCCAUGAUUGGCUAUGGCUUUGAUAACCCCAAGCAUCUUCAUUCGUAGUGAAUUGAGAACAUUGAUGAGUUGGAUAUCCUUGCCCAUAGGACACACCACAUGUAGGGACACUUUGCAUUGUGGUCCUUUCGGCAUAUUGUGACAAUUGAGAAGUAAGUUUCGCCAAUUGAGCUUGAAUGGUAGCAAAAUCCAUGUCUUACUUCUCUAGUACCUGAAAGCAAGGAAACAAAACUAAAACAAAUAUCAUAAGUAAAAAUAAAAGACACAAAUAGAAACAAAGUCAGUAACUAAAACAAAAGUCAUGAAAAAGAAACAAUGGGGGAUUAGCAAAGUUGCUAAUCCCAGGCAACGGCGCCAAAAAUUUGGUGCGAAAAUUACUUAACACACAAAUUAAACCCUCUUGUAUUAAUUGUAGUAAAGAAUGUAAGUAGGGAUCGUUCUGGACCGGGGAUUAGGAAGGCUUGCUAAUAACCUAUAAAUUGACUUAAAAACAUAUAAACAAAGUUAAAAACACUAAACUAGACUCAAAGAACUUAAAACAAACUCAAAGGACUCAAAACAAGCUAAACACGCUCAAACCUGCCUAAAAACACAAACUGGGCAGAUUUGGACUCUAACACACUUUUGGGACACCUAAAAACACAAAUCAAAACAGAUUUUGACUAAUAAAACACUUUAAAGUAAAUGGGGUUUUGGUUUUGACGAAUUUGAAAACAAAACAAGUAAAUUAAAGAACUAAUGAAAUCUGCACGAAUUUGAGUAAAUUGAAUGGAUGGAAGGCUAGCUAGGAGGUUCUUCUCCACACAUGACAUACUUGCACCUAAACCAAUUUUCAGUUGUUCUUUCGAUCAAUCAUGAAACUCAACACCCCAGGUUAAUUAAGUCCGCUUAAAUUAACCUUCAAGUUCUCCUUAAGUUAUUGAAUUAGAUGGGAAAACGCAUACAACAAUUCAAGCAUUCUUCAAAUGUUCUUUACGUGAACAGCACAAUAAAGAUACAAUCAAAGAUCAUUAAGCAUUAUGAAAACUAUAAGUAUUGAUGAGGCACUCGUUACUAUGAUGAGCAUGAAACUCCUGCCAAGAAUUUAUUUAACGCGAUCGUUUAUAAGCGACCUCCACUACUUGUGAAUAUAAGUUUGUAACUAUUAGGUGAAACUCCCUUAUACUCUAGCAUCAUAUUCAUGCAUGCAAACUAAGUGUGCACUCUUAAUAAACAUACAUGAAUAAGUUAUCAAUCAAGCAAUUAAACAAAUUGAAUUCACAACUUAUGAAAUCACAACUGAAGGUAAUCAAAUCAUAUUGCAAGCAUGAACAUGGUUUCGAAUUCCCCCCUAGCUAAAGGGGGUUUAGUUACUCAUACUCACAAAGCAAAGAUAAACAAAUUUAGACAUUGAAAACAAAAGAAUGAAAACACCUAAAAACGCUCCAACAAUCCAACUUGAAUGGCAAGCACGUCCAAGGGUCCUCCUUCUUCUCUUUGUUGCGGCACAAGGUGUGGUUUGAUGGAUGAGUGGUAAAUUAUGGUGGUGGAUGGAUAUAGGUGAGUUAUGGUGAAGGGUGGAUGGGUGGAUUAUGUUCUCCCCUAAGGAAUGAAAGUGUAAGUGUAUGGAGUUGUGAGAUGUGAAUGUAGUGUCUUUGGAUGGAUCUUUUCUCCUCCCUUGUUAUGGUGAAAGGUGGAUGUAUUUAUAGGCUAGGGAGAUGACCACCAUCUAAUUAAGGUGGUAGUGGUGUAUGUUGUGGUAAUGAGUGGAUGUAAUGGGUGUAGUGGGUGAGUGUUUGGUAAUGAGUGGAUGUAAUGGGUGUAGUGGAUGGAUGUUUGGUAAUGAGUGGAUGUAAUGGGUGUAGUGGAUGAGUGUUUGUAGUUGUAGGUCAACACACUUGCACACACACAUGCUGAUUUCUAGCCUUCUAAUCUUCAAAAACGUCCAUCCUUAUGUCUCCAUGCUUGCAUUAUCCAAUCUUGGCCCAAAAAUGCUCCAAAGUGCCAAAAUAGCACUUUGUUGCCAACUUUGUUAUUUGAACCUACAAACACAUGAAAAUAGCUUAAAGUACUAAAAUAACUAGAAUUAAACUAAGUAAAUGCCAAGAAACAAGCUCACUAAGUUGCAUAAAUAUGCUCCUAUCAGUAUACGAUCCCGACGUCAACGCUUUCACAUUGGCAUAUUCGAGUCCUCUCGGUAUAGAACCCACAUCCUUUUAUUUAUUCAAUUUUUUAUUAAUUCUUUUAGAGCUCUAGUUAGUUGUAUGCUCUAAAUACGUUCCUAAAUUUUUAACUCAUUGUAUUUAAAUUCAUAACCCUUAUUUACUUCUUAUUCUUAACUUUUAUAUCAAUUAGUGGCUUUCGUCACCCUCAGGUGUCGGCCA
rnacentral:lncRNA from 1 species